AACGAACGCUGGCGGCAGGCCUAACACAUGCAAGUCGAGCGAGAUCUUCGGGUCUAGCGGCGGACGGGUGAGUAACGCGUGGGAAUAUGCCUCUUGGUACGGAAUAGCCUCGGGAAACUGGGAGUAAUACCGUAUGUGCCCUUUGGGGGAAAGAUUUAUCGCCAAGAGAUUAGCCCGCGUUGGAUUAGGUAGUUGGUGGGGUAAUGGCCUACCAAGCCGACGAUCCAUAGCUGGUUUGAGAGGAUGAUCAGCCACACUGGGACUGAGACACGGCCCAGACUCCUACGGGAGGCAGCAGUGGGGAAUCUUAGACAAUGGGGGCAACCCUGAUCUAGCCAUGCCGCGUGAGUGAUGAAGGCCUUAGGGUUGUGAAGCUCUUUCAGCUGGGAAGAUAAUGACGGUACCAGCAGAAGAAGCCCCGGCUAACUCCGUG
rnacentral:rRNA from 1 species